GGGGAAUUAGCUCAAAUGGUAAAGCGCUCGCUUUGCAUGCGAGAGGUAGAGAGAACAAUGCCUGCAUUCUCCA
rfam:Danio rerio chromosome 4, GRCz11 reference primary assembly.